UACAGAGGGGGCAAGCGUUGUUCGGAAUUACUGGGCGUAAAGUGUGCGCAGGUGGCCGCGCAAGUCGAGUGUGAAAUCCCCGAGCUUAACUUGGGAAUUGCGCUCGAAACUACGUGGCUCGAGUGUGGCAGAGGAAGGUGGAAUUCCACGUGUAGCGGUGAAAUGCGUAGAGAUGUGGAGGAACACCGAUGGCGAAGGCAGCCUUCUGGGCCAACACUGACGCUCAUGCACGAAAGCGUGGGGAGCAAACAGG
rnacentral:rRNA from 1 species